GGGGAUUUAGCUCAGCGGUAGAGCGCUUGCCUAGCAAGCGAAAGGGCCUGGGUUCGGUCCCCAGCUCCG
rnacentral:tRNA from 1 species